AUUGAACGCUGGCGGCAGGCCUAACACAUGCAAGUCGAGCGAGCGGCGGACGGGUGAGUAAUGUAUGGGGACUGCCCGAUAGAGGGGGAUAACUACUGGAAACGGUAGCUAAUACCGCAUACUAUCGGAUAACCCAUAUGGGAGUAGCUAGUAGGUGAGGGAAUGGCUCACCUAGGCGACGAUCCCUAGCUGGUCUGAGAGGAUGAUCAGCCACACUGGGACUGGGACACGGACCAGACUCCGACGGAGGCAGCGGUGGGGAAGAUUGCAAAAGGGGAGCAAGCCUGAUGCAGCCAUGCCGCGUGUAUGAAGAAGGCCCUGGGGUUGUAAAGUUCUUUCAGUCGGGAGGCGUUACCGACAGAAGAAGCACCGGCAAACUCCGUGCCAGCGGCCGGGGUAAUU
rnacentral:rRNA from 1 species